rnacentral:rRNA from 1 species
CACCCGGUUACAUUCCGAACCCGGAAGUUAAGCUCUUCAGCGCCGAUGGUACUGCACCGGGGACGGUGUGGGAGAGUAGGUCGCCGCCGGAC